UCAUAUACACCACAGACAAAUAGAACGAACUGAAGCUUAAGAAUGAUGAAGCCAACUCUUGCUUUUCUCUCCCUUCUCUUCCUCUUUUUGUUUGCUACUACUUCGGAAUCAAGAAAAGAGCCGGGAGAAUAUGGGAAAAUGGUGACGAAAGAUAAUGAAAUUUCUGAAGGAAUCGAAGGCCUUCUUGUUGAUGGAUUGAAGCACAAAUGUGAAGAGGACAAGAAGACAAAUAUUUUGAGGAAUUUUGAACCCAUACCAAACUUUUUUUUUUAUAAAGAGAAAGUUAGUGCCGAGGAGAAGAAGCAAAAUAUUGUGAAGAAUUUUGAACCGAAACCAAAUCCUUUCCCUUUAUUUUACGGUGAAGCUAACAGGAA